rnacentral:rRNA from 1 species
AUACGGAGGGUGCAAGCGUUACUCGGAAUCACUGGGCGUAAAGGACGCGUAGGCGGGUUGUCAAGUCAGAUGUGAAAUCCUACAGCUUAACUGUAGAACUGCAUUUGAAACUGGCAACCUAGAGUAUGGGAGGGGGAGAUGGAAUUAGUGGUGUAGGGGUAAAAUCCGUAGAUAUCACUAGGAAUACCGAAAGCGAAGGCGAUCUCCUGGAACAUAACUGACGCUAAGGCGUGAAAGCGUGGGGAGCGAACGGGAUUAGAAACCCGAGUAGUCC